AUUGAACGCUGGCGGCAGGCCUAACACAUGCAAGUCGAGCGGAUGAAGGGAGCUUGCUCCUGGAUUCAGCGGCGGACGGGUGAGUAAUGCCUAGGAAUCUGCCUGGUAGUGGGGGAUAACGUCCGGAAACGGGCGCUAAUACCGCAUACGUCCUGAGGGAGAAAGUGGGGGAUCUUCGGACCUCACGCUAUCAGAUGAGCCUAGGUCGGAUUAGCUAGUUGGUGGGGUAAAGGCCUACCAAGGCGACGAUCCGUAACUGGUCUGAGAGGAUGAUCAGUCACACGGGAACUGAGACACGGUCCAGACUCCUACGGGAGGCAGCAGUGGGGAAUAUUGGACAAGGGGCGAAAGCCUGAUCCAGCCAGGCCGCGUGUGUGAAGAAGGUCUUCGGAUUGUAAAGCACAUUAAGUUGGGAGGAAGGGCAGUAAGUUAAUACCUUGCUGUUUUGACGUUACCAACAGAAUAAGCACCGGCUAACUUCGG
rnacentral:rRNA from 1 species